CAAUUACUCCAAAUGCCCCUUUCACAAGAGCGAGUUCCACGCAUUGGACUCGCAGAGUGUGUCAGCGAGAGCACCCGUCCUGACCUCCCAGCACUGAUGGGGUUGCAUAGCAUUAUAUUAAUUUAUGAUGCUAUGUAACCCUUACAGUUCUGGAAUGUAUUGGAU